AGUCGAACGCUUCUUUCCUCCCGAGUGCUUGCACUCAAUUGGAAAGGGGAGUGGCGGACGGGUGAGUAACACGUGGGUAACCUACCCAUCAGAGGGGGAUAACACUUGGAAACAGGUGCUAAUACCGCAUAACAGUUUAUGCCGCAUGGCAUAAGAGUGAAAGGCGCUUUCGGGUGUCGCUGAUGGAUGGACCCGCGGUGCAUUAGCUAGUUGGUGAGGUAACGGCUCACCAAGGCCACGAUGCAUAGCCGACCUGAGAGGGUGAUCGGCCACACUGGGACUGAGACACGGCCCAGACUCCUACGGGAGGCAGCAGUAGGGAAUCUUCGGCAAUGGACGAAAGUCUGACCGAGCAACGCCGCGUGAGUGAAGAAGGUUUUCGGAUCGUAAAACUCUGUUGUUAGAGAAGAACAAGGACGUUAGUAACUGAACGUCCCCUGACGGUAUCUAACCAGAAAGCCACGGCUAACUACGUGCCAGCAGCCGCGGUAAUACGUAGGUGGCAAGCGUUGUCCGGAUUUAUUGGGCGUAAAGCGAGCGCAGGCGGUUUCUUAAGUCUGAUGUGAAAGCCCCCGGCUCAACCGGGGAGGGUCAUUGGAAACUGGGAGACUUGAGUGCAGAAGAGGAGAGUGGAAUUCCAUGUGUAGCGGUGAAAUGCGUAGAUAUAUGGAGGAACACCAGUGGCGAAGGCGGCUCUCUGGUCU
rnacentral:rRNA from 1 species